GGGGAACAUACUUAGAAACGAGACGGUCCCGUGUAUUGUUGUCCACUUUUUAUGGGCGCCACUGACACGUGGCGGCCCGCGAUUGGUUGUUUUUUUUUUUAAUCGUAAAAGGAAAAAAAAAAAUUUGGGACCAAAGCAAGUCCCACCAAUGUACAUGACCUUAGCCUCCCUAUUCCUCUUCAUCUUCAUCUUGUUCACGUCCUCUGUUUCUUGCACUUUCCUUUUGUUUGAUUUGCCACCGUGGUCGGAAGCAUCCUCCUGAUGACGCGAAAACCGAGCAUCACUAGACAAAAAGUCCAACAUCCUCCGUGUAUGUGCUCUACUAAUGAGAUGUAUGGAGAAUUUUUCUCAGUCUUUCUCAACAUCAUCACAACAGCAAUCUGAGCAAACACCAAUGGCGGCGGAUUCACCCGUUUCAUUGCACUUAUCCACCUGGAACUUCCGGAAGAAAGCUUUGAAUAGAAGAAUAUGGAAGAUAAUUGUAUCCCUUUUUAUAACUAAAGAGGUAAGAAAUCAACAGCAAGAUCAUUGGUUCGCCUAUGACCAUUAUAUUAGCUGGAGGUGGGUUCACAUCGGUAUAAUCAAUAACACUAUACUCAACACUAGCUGGACCGUAAUAAUUGUUAUCAAGAGAGAUUCCACCGGCAAAUACUCCUCUCAAGAUGUCAUUAGGGAUGUCUGUUAGUACACUAACGACAGUGAUGGUGACAGGACUAGAUUAGCCUUCCUUCACCAAAAACCGUCUAAUACACCGACCGAGCAGACAAGGAUCACAGUAAGAAGGAACCGGACACGUAUUGAUGUCCCAAAAGACCAAUGUUACAGCCGCCUUAUCACAUAAAGGAGGCUCAACCUUCAC
rnacentral:lncRNA from 1 species